rnacentral:rRNA from 1 species
UACGAAGGGGGCUAGCGUUGUUCGGAAUUACUGGGCGUAAAGCGUAUGUAGGCGGAUCGUUAAGUCGGGGGUGAAAUCCCGAGGCUCAACCUCGGAACUGCCUUCGAUACUGGCGAUCUUCGAGUCCGGGAGAGGUGAGUGGAACUCCGAGUGUAGAGGUGAAAUUCGUAGAUAUUCGGAAGAACACCAGUGGCGAAGGCGGCUCACUGGCCCGGUACUGACGCUGAGUGAGCGAAAGCCAGGGGAGCAAACGGG